rnacentral:lncRNA from 1 species
UUUCAGUACAUUUUAAUUUUAUGUGCUUUCAGAAAUGAUAUUCGUCAAGGCUCACAAAACGAUUGGAACGUAGCUGAAGUCAGGUUUCUAUUAGUAACAUAUCGUUAGAAUAUACCUAGAGUUCUCAGUGAGUUUUAAGGUCACCAUAAAUGUAUUUCAGAGUAGAAAGAUGUGAAUUUUUAAUGUAGGAAGGAAAUUUCUGAGAAAAAUACUGUGGGAUAUUUUGUACCUAAUAAUAACAUGAGGUAACUUUGAUUGUCUCUUUCAUGGUGUUCUUGCUAGGAUCAUCUAGUCUGAAAGAACCCUGAUCUAUUUCUCCAGCAAAAUAAAUCAAAAAGUUGUGGAAAGAAAAAAAAAAAUCAUAAACAGCCUCAUAAAUGGAAACUCAUUUUCCGGCCUCCUACCUGGAUUGCUCCCAAGUAGGGCAGAGUGUGUCUUGGAGAGAGAAAAGGAACUGGUCUAAGCGUGGCUAGAGAUGAACAGCAGGUCAAAAAUCAACCUUUACUUAGUCUAAGUAUCAACAGAAAUUUCAGGGUCUGGAAAAAGGGCAGGACUGUUAGAUAAAUUCCCAGGUCUAUGAAUGAGCAAGUUAUUAUAAUUAGGAAAGGAUCAAACGUCACCUAUUCAGUAAUACUGUAACAGAAGACAAAGGUAAUAAUGAUUUUUCAAAGAACUUCUGACAUGCCUGCUCUGUGCUCCUUCCAUGAAUCAGUUCUCUUGGGAAGUUUCAACUUCAUUGUAAUGUGAAAACACUGUGGGGCUGACUUUUGUGACCCCGUACAGAAAGAAGGGUUUGAAAUGCCCCAAGGGAACCUUGGCCUGGGAUUUCUUUGUGGUUCAAGAAAAGAUUGAGCAAUUUGAAUGUUGUUGAAGGGAGGCAUUCUAGGCAGAGUCUUAAAGAGCUAAUGUGGAUUAUAACUAGCAUGGAACAACCUUGUGGAAAAAAAUUCACAGACAUGAAGAAAACCCCACAUCCUUGUGAGAAAUGGGCAUGUGGAGGGCAGGAAUUGGGCAGAGCAAGGG